GCCUCCCUCCGCCGCCACUCAGACUCCGUACGGGACGGCGAGCAGGUAGGGGUAAGUUUUAGGGUAACGUAAGUACGGGGGAAAACCCGUAGGACUCCAGCAAUGCCGCGUGUGUGAAGAAGGCUCGGUUGUAAGCACUUUGUCCGGUAAAGAAACUUACUGCCCUAAUACGGUGGGAGGAGUGACGGUACCGGAAGAAUAAGCACCGGCUAACUACGUGCCAGCAGCCGCGGUAAUUC
rnacentral:rRNA from 1 species